rnacentral:lncRNA from 1 species
AUGCUAAUCUCUUCAGAUCUGUCAAUUUAUGGCAAGAGGCAACACCUGGAAAGGAGAUUUAGAGAGAAAACUGCAGCAGAAAUAGCACUGGCAGUUCAAUAUACAUCAAUCACACUUCCAAGUAUAUGGACCUCAUGGCCUCCUCUCUUCACUGCUGUGCCCGUAGUCAUCACUCAGAAGGACCAGCAAAAUAGACUGUGUUUCCUGCUGCUUUUAUACAUGGACACAAGGCUUGAAGGUGCAGAAGACUGUAGGUCUGGAAGUGGUGUCAAAACUCCCAUUUUGCAAGAAGCGAGCACAGUCAACUAUAAAAGGCUAAAGAAUAUGCUUAUUCAUCUUAUUUUUAUGGAAAGUCUUGGUGACUCACUGCAUUGGCGAGAGAAGAGGAUUUAG